GAUGAACGCUAGCUACAGGCUUAACACAUGCAAGUCGAGGGGCAGCAUCAUCAAAGCUUGCUUUGAUGGAUGGCGACCGGCGCACGGGUGAGUAACACGUAUCCAACCUGCCGACAACACUGGGAUAGCCUUUCGAAAGAAAGAUUAAUACCGGAUGGCAUAAUUAUUCCGCAUGGGAUAAUUAUUAAAGAAUUUCGGUUGUCGAUGGGGAUGCGUUCCAUUAGGCAGUUGGCGGGGUAACGGCCCACCAAACCUACGAUGGAUAGGGGUUCUGAGAGGAAGGUCCCCCACAUUGGAACUGAGACACGGUCCAAACUCCUACGGGAGGCAGCAGUGAGGAAUAUUGGUCAAUGGACGAGAGUCUGAACCAGCCAAGUAGCGUGAAGGAUGACUGCCCUAUGGGUUGUAAACUUCUUUUAUACGGGAAUAAAGUGAGCCACGUGUGGCUUUUUGUAUGUACCGUAUGAAUACGGAUCGGCUAACUCCGUGCCAGCAGCCGCGGUAAUACGGAGGAUCCGAGCGUUAUCCGGAUUUAUUGGGUUUAAAGGGAGCGUAAGCGGGUUGUUAAGUCAGUUGUGAAAGUUUGCGGCUCAACCGUAAAAUUGCAGUUGAUACUGGCGACCUUGAGUGCAACAGAGGUAGGCGGAAUUCGUGGUGUAGCGGUGAAAUGCUUAGAUAUCACGAAGAACUCCGAUUGCGAAGGCAGCUUACUGGAUUGUAACUGACGCUGAUGCUCGAAAGUGUGGGUAUCAAACAGGAUCAGAUACCCUGGUAGUCCACACAGUAAACGAUGAAUACUCGCUGUUGGCGAUAUACAGUCAGCGGCCAAGCGAAAGCAUUAAGUAUUCCACCUGGGGAGUACGCCGGCAACGGUGAAACUCAAAGGAAUUGACGGGGGCCCGCACAAGCGGAGGAACAUGUGGUUUAAUUCGAUGAUACGCGAGGAACCUUACCCGGGCUUAAAUUGCAACUGACGGAAUCGGAAACGGUUCUUUCUUCGGACAGUUGUGAAGGUGCUGCAUGGUUGUCGUCAGCUCGUGCCGUGAGGUGUCGGCUUAAGUGCCAUAACGAGCGCAACCCUUACGGGUAGUUACCAUCAGGUUAUGCUGGGGACUCUACCCGGACUGCCGUCGUAAGAUGUGAGGAAGGUGGGGAUGACGUCAAAUCAGCACGGCCCUUACGUCCGGGGCUACACACGUGUUACAAUGGGGGGUACAGAAGGCAGCUACACGGCGACGUGGUGCUAAUCCCAAAAGCCUCUCUCAGUUCGGAUUGGAGUCUGCAACCCGACUCCAUGAAGCUGGAUUCGCUAGUAAUCGCGCAUCAGCCACGGCGCGGUGAAUACAGUUCCCGGGCCU
rnacentral:rRNA from 1 species